rnacentral:rRNA from 1 species
UACGAAGGGGGCUAGCGUUGUUCGGAAUUACUGGGCGUAAAGCGCACGUAGGCGGACAUUUAAGUCAGGGGUGAAAUCCCGGGGCUCAACCCCGGAACUGCCUUUGAUACUGGAUGUCUUGAGUGUGGUAGAGGUGAGUGGAAUUGCGAGUGUAGAGGUGAAAUUCGUAGAUAUUCGCAGGAACACCAGUGGCGAAGGCGGCUCACUGGCCCGAUACUGACGCUGAGGCACGAAAGCGUGGGGAGCAAACAGG